CUCUUAUCAAGAGAGGUGGAGGGACUGGCCCGAUGAAGCCCGGCAACCUGUCGAAUCAGGUGCCAAUACCAGCAGCCCGCAGGGCUGGAUGAUGAGAG
rnacentral:ncRNA from 2 species